rnacentral:rRNA from 1 species
GAUGAACGCUGGCGGCGUGCCUAAUACAUGCAAGUCGAGCGGUAACACUUCGGGUGACGAGCGGCGGACGGCUGAGUAACGCGUAGGAACAUACCCCAAAGUGAGGGAUAAGCACCGGAAACGGUGUCUAAUACCGCAUGUGGUCUUCGGAUUAAAGCUUCGGCGCUUUGGGAACGGCCUGCGUAUGAUUAGCUUGUUGGUGAGGUAAUGGCUCACCAAGGCGACGAUCAUUGGCUGGUCUGAGAGGAUGAUCAGCCAGACUGGGACUGAGAACGGCCCAGACUCCUACGGGAGGCAGCAGUAGGGAAUUUUCCACAAUGGACGAAAGUCUGAUGGUGCAACGCCGCGUGCAGGAUGAAUGCCUUCGGGUUGUAAACUGCUUUUCUCUGUGACGAUUAUGACGGUAGCAGAGGAGUAAGGAUCGGCUAGCUCCGUGCCAGCAGCCGCCGUAA